UUUGUAAAAGACCGACCCUUCCAAGGCUUUUCUGGCUUCCGACCUUGUGUGGCAUCUCUUUGAACCCCCUCGACUGUCCGAACUUCUUCUGGACUUCUCCGACAAUGGGCUUCUCCGUCCAUCUACCGAGCCACUUCAAAGGCUCUCUAGGCCUCACUAUCGGCCGACCUUCUACAGUGAUCAACUAUCCUCCGAACUUCUUUCGGAC
rnacentral:lncRNA from 1 species